AUUGAACGCUGGCGGCAUGCCUUACACAUGCAAGUCGAACGGUAACAGGUCUUCGGAUGCUGACGAGUGGCGAACGGGUGAGUAAUGCAUCGGAACGUGCCCAGUAGUGGGGGAUAGCCCGGCGAAAGCCGGAUUAAUACCGCAUACGACCUGAGGGUGAAAGGGGGGGAUCGCAAGACCUCUCGCUAUUGGAGCGGCCGAUGUCAGAUUAGCUAGUUGGUGGGGUAAAGGCCUACCAAGGCAACGAUCUGUAGUUGGUCUGAGAGGACGACCAGCCACACUGGGACUGAGACACGGCCCAGACUCCUACGGGAGGCAGCAGUGGGGAAUUUUGGACAAUGGGCGCAAGCCUGAUCCAGCAAUGCCGCGUGCAGGAAGAAGGCCUUCGGGUUGUAAACUGCUUUUGUACGGAACGAAACGCGCUGAGCUAAUACCUCGGCGUAAUGACGGUACCGUAAGAAUAAGCACCGGCUAACUACGUGCCAGCAGCCGCCGUAACAC
rnacentral:rRNA from 1 species